ensembl:lncRNA
AGUACCCAGCGGUGGGCAGCAUCUCAGAGCUGCGGGUGACGGAGGCCGGUCCCAGCCAGCUGCGGGUUACCUGGCGAGGGCUGCCGGGCGCCGGGGGCUACCUGCUGACCUGGAGAGGCAGCGACGGUGAGUGUGGGGACCACGGGAUGCUGUGGUGGUGGUGCCGGAGCCCUCCCCAUCCUGGCCAUCUCUUCUAGGUGUGGAGCAAUCCCGUUUCCUCCCUGCCGACCCCACCACCUUCACCAUUGAGGGGCUGCGUGCCAGCAUUGUCUACACCAUCAGCGUCUCGGCCAUUGUGGAUGGCCGUGAGGGCAGCCCUGUCACUGCCACAGGACGUAUAGGUGAGGUGUUCCCCCCAACCCGUCACUGCUGGCUGGUGCUGCUUGCCGCGAGCCCGGGUGACAAUGGCCCUCUCGGUGUCGCAGCGCCGGAGCAAGUGGGGAUGGUGUCCCAGCUGGAGGUACAGGCAUCCAGGAGCAACGUUGCCCGUGUCACCUGGGUCGGUGUGCCGGGAGCCACUGCCUACCGUGUGGUGUGGAGCCGCAGGGAUGGGGGCUCGGAGAACAGCCGGCGGGUUCCCGGCCACACCAGCUCCUUCGACAUCCCCGACCUGGAGGGAGGUGUCUCCUACACCGUGAAGGUGACAGCGCUCAUCGGCAACCGGGAGGGCAACCCUGUCUCCAUCGUUGUCACCACCCCGGAGGCAGCCCCACUGCCCCCCGUCAGCAGCUUCCAGGUGACGGAGGCCUCAGAGCACCGCCUGCGCCUGGCCUGGGUACCGGCGGCCGGCAGUGCCGGGUACCGCCUGGUCUGGCGCCUGGCUGAGGGGGGCCCCCAGCGCAGCCAGCAGCUCCCGGCCACUGCCAGCUCCUACGACCUGGGGGGGCUGGAGCCAGGACGGCGCUACCACAUCAGCAUCACCAGCCUGGCCAGUGGCCGGGAGAGCGAGCCGGCCACUGUCACUGCCAUCACUGCAGCUGCCCCGGCCCGUGUCACCAGCCUGCGGGUGACAGAUAUACGGAGAGACUCAGUGACGAUCACCUGGACCCCUAUCCCUGGCGCCUCCGGCUACAUCCUCUCCUGGAGUCCCCCUGCAGCCGGUGGGGAGACGAGGCGGACGCUGCCUGGUGCUGCCAGCUCCCAGCAAGUCUCCGGGCUGCGCCUGGGCCAGCGCUACACCUUCACCCUCCGCCCGCUCCUGGGGAGCGCACCGGGUGCUGAGACCUCCGUCAGCGAGCGCACAGUCUGCAGGGAUGCCCGCGGUGACAUCGUCUUCCUGGUGCAUGGCACACGCGACAGCUCCUCCGGUGCUGAUGCCAUCCGCACCCUCCUCUCCAACACCGUGUCCGCCUUGGGGCGCCUGGGCCCUGAGGGCACCCAGGUAGGAGGCUGCUGUGGUGGUGGGAGACCCGUGGGGGGCCACGGGUGGGCAGCGGUGCCCACUGCUCCCCUGUACCUUUGCAGGUGGCUCUGGCCACGUACAGCUACCGCAGCCUGCCCUGGCUGCUCCUCAACCGCUCCAGCGACCUGCCCACUGUGCUGGAGCAGAUCCGCACCAUACGCUACGAGGAACCCAGUGGCAACGCCAUCGGUGAGGGGCGGCACUGGGAGCCGGGGUAGUGGCUGGUGGGAUCCUGCUGACCAUCUGCCUCCUCCUUCUUCCUCCCUAGGGGCAGCCAUCACCUUUGCCAGGACCUACUUAUUGAGCCCUGGAGCGGGGCGCCGACCCGGCGUGCCGGCGGUGCUGGUGGUCCUGGCUGAUGGACCCUCAGGGGAUGAUGCCAUCACUGCAGCCAGGGACAUCAAGGCUGGGGGUGAGGAUGGAUGGGGUCCCAGCAGGGUGUGCGGGGAGUUCUGCUGGGUACUGAGGGUGCUCUUGGCUCAGGGGUCCAGGUGCUGGCCGUGA